rnacentral:rRNA from 1 species
CUACGGGAGGCACCAGUGAGGAAUAUUGCACGAUGGGGGGAACCCUGAUGCAGCAACGCCGCGUGGAGGAUGACGCAUUUCGGUGUGUAAACUCCUUUUAUAUGUCAAGAAAAUGACGGUAGCAUAUGAAUAAGCACCGGCUAACUCCGUGCCAGCAGGCCGCGGUAAUACGGAGGGUGCAAGCGUUACUCGGAAUCACUGGGCGUAAAGGACGCGUAGGCGGGUUGGAAAGUCAGGUGUGAAAUCCUACAGCUUAACUGUAGAACUGCACUUGAAACUUCUAAUCUAGAGUAUGGGAGGGGGAGAUGGAAUUAGUGGUGUAGGGGUAAAAUCCGUAGAUAUCACUAGGAAUACCUAAAGCGAAGGCGAUCUCCUGGAACAUUGCUGACGCUAAGGCGUGAAAGCGUGGGGAGCAAACAGGAUUAGAUACCCUCGUAGUC